rnacentral:rRNA from 1 species
CCUACGGGAGGCAGCAGUGAGGAAUAUUGGUCAAUGGACGCAAGUCUGAACCAGCCAUGCCGCGUGCAGGAAGACGGCUCUAUGAGUUGUAAACUGCUUUUGUACGAGGGUAAACGCAUAUACGCGUAUCUGUCUGCAAGUAUCCUACGAAUAAGCAUCGGCUAACUCCGUGCCAGCAGCCGCGGUAAUACGGAGGAUUCAAGCGUUAUCCGGAUUUAUUGGGUUUAAAGGGUGCGGAGGCGGCCGGAUAAGUUAGGGGUGAAAUCUCGAGGCUCAACUUCGGAAUUGCCGUUGAUACUGUUCGGCUAGAGAGUGGUUGCGGUAGGCGGAAUGUGUGGUGUAGCGGUGAAAUGCUUAGAGAUCAUACAGAACUCCGAUUGCGAAGGCAGCUUACCAAGCUACUUCUGACGUUGAGGCACGAAAGCGUGGGGAGCGAACAGGAUUAGAUACCCGAGUAGUC